UACAUGUGGGGCAAGCGUUGUUCGGAAUUACUGGGCAUAAAGGGUGCGUAGGCGGUUUGUUAAGUCACUGGUGAAAGUUUUCGGCCCAACCGGAAAAUUGCCUGUGAUACUGGCGAACUUGAGUGCGUGAGGGUGGGGGAACGAGCAGUGUAGCGGUGAAAUGCGCAGAUAUCAGGAGGAACACCGAUGGCGAAGGCAGGUCUCUGGGCCACUACUGACGCUGAGAAGCGAAAGCAUGGGGAGCGAACAGG
rnacentral:rRNA from 1 species